CCAAUGUAUUGUCCGAGCCACACUAGGAAAACCUAGUGUUUCUGGCUUUCUUCCUCAAGGUGGUCAGCGGCACACAACUCCAGCUACCAUCAAAGAGUUUCCAAUUCUUCUGACAAUGAAGCUUUCUUACUUUCAUGCCUUUCAGAGUUCUGCUGUCCCGCCCACUUUGCGUCCGGCCAUCUGGUCAACCGCUUUUCUGGGGCGAUUAUAAAAGCGGCCGUUGAGCACCUCUGCCGCGCCCAGGAUGGAUUCCUCCUAACUGACGGACGUCGCGUUGACUUGGGGAGAGAUCACGCACAGGAGCGAUCGGGACAUCUCUGCGAAAGCAAGCACACGUCCUCUGUGCCCGCCCCGUGCAGAGAAACUCAACUGGGAUAGCUUUGUUGUGGUGCCGGUGCCGGUGCCGCAGCCAGCGACCAACUUCCCUGAACUAUAGGCAGUGAUAGAAAUGGUAAUGAGUGCGGUGGCGAUGUUGUCCAUGCUGGCGGGAUUGCUGGUGUUAUUGGAGAAGGUUUGGGGGCAGGGGGGCGCGAGGGAGGAGAGGCACAAAAUUGUAACCAACAGACUCUGAGGUCAUCUCGUGGGAAGCAAGGUGACUGUCCAAUGGCCAUGUCGUACACCCAAAAGGGGAAAAAGCAAAGAGUUACUUGUAAUAGUAAUAAUACUAAGUAAAAGUA